GAUGAACGCUGGCGGCGUGCCUAAUACAUGCAAGUCGAGCGAACAGACGAGGAGCUUGCUCCUCUGACGUUAGCGGCGGACGGGUGAGUAACACGUGGAUAACCUACCUAUAAGACUGGGAUAACUUCGGGAAACCGGAGCUAAUACCGGAUAAUAUAUUGAACCGCAUGGUUCAAUAGUGAAAGACGGUUUUGCUGUCACUUAUAGAUGGAUCCGCGCCGCAUUAGCUAGUUGGUAAGGUAACAGCUUACCAAGGCAACGAUGCGUAGCCGACCUGAGAGGGUGAUCGGCCACACUGGAACUGAGACACGGUCCAGACUCCUACGGGAGGCAGCAGUAGGGAAUCUUCCGCAAUGGGCGAAAGCCUGACGGAGCAACGCCGCGUGAGCGAUGAAGGUCUUCGGAUCGUAAAACUCUGUUAUUAGGGAAGAACAAAUGUGUAAGUAACUAUGCACGUCUUGACGGUACCUAAUCAGAAAGCCACGGCUAACUACGUG
rnacentral:rRNA from 1 species